rnacentral:rRNA from 1 species
GUUAAUUGAACACAACUGGAAAGUUGGACCACAGUGGGUAAUAGUCCCGUAAGUGAAAACUAUGAUAAUCAGUUCUGCACCAGAGUACCACGAGACACGUGAAACCUUGUGGGAAGCAGGAGGACCACCUCCCAAGGCUAAAUACUACCUGAUGACCGAUAGUGAAGCAGUACCGUGAGGGAAAGGUGAAAAGAACCCCGGGAGGGGAGUGAAAUAGAACCUGAAACCAUGUGCCUACAACCGAUCAGAGCACCUUAUGUGUGUGAUGAUGUGCUUUUUGUAGAACGAGCCAACGAGUUACGGUAUGUAGCGAGGUUAAGUACUUAAGGUACGGAGCCGAAGGGAAACCGAGUCUUAAUAGGGCGACUAGUUGCAUCUGUAGACCCGAAACCGGGUGACCUAUCCAUGGCCAGGUUGAAGCGAGGGUAAAACCUCGUGGAGGACCGAACCACGUUGCUGUUGAAAAAGCAUGGGAUGAGCUGUGGAUAGCGGAGAAAUUCCAAUCGAACUCGGAUAUAGCUGGUUCUCCUCGAAAUAGCUUUAGGGCUAGCGUCGGAAAAAUGUGAGUAGUGGAGGUAGAGCACUGAAUAGGCUAGGGGGCAUAGCGCUUUACCGAACCUUAUCAAACUCCGAAUGCCACAUACUAUCAGUCCGGCAGUCAGACUAAUGAAAGAUAAGUUCCAUGGUCAAAAGGGAAAACAGCCCAGAUCGUCAGCUAAGGUCCCAAAGUGUAAGUUAAGUGGAAAAGGAUGUGGGAUUUUCUAAAGACAACUAGGAUGUUGGCUUAGAAAGCAGCCACUCAAUUAAAAAGAGUGCGUAAUAGCUCAACUAGUCAAGAGAUCCUGCGCCGAAAAUGUCCGGGGCUCAAACUUACCACCGAAGCUACGGGUUCACGCUUAUGCGUGAGCGGUAGAGGGAGCGUCGUAAUCGGGCUGAAGUCGUACCGUAAGGAGCGGUGGACUGAUUACGAGUGAGAAUGUUGGCAUUAGUAGCGAGAUGUAGGCGAGAAUCCUACAGGCCGAAUAUCUAAGGUUUCCUGAGUAAAGUUUGUCUUCUCAGGGUUAGUCGGGACCUAAGGCGAGGCCGAAAGGCGUAGUCGAUGGACAAUUGGUUGAUAUUCCAAUACCACUAUAAUCGUUAUUAUCGAUGGUGUGACGGAGAAGGAUAGGAUGUGCUAGCUAUUGGAUGCUAGUCUAAGCGUUUAGGGAGUUGGGAUUGGCAAAUCCGUUCCAACAAUUCUGAGGCGUGAUGGGGAAGGUUCUACGGAACCGAAGUAUCUGAUUCCAUGCUUCCAAGAAAAGCAUCUAGAGAGAGAAGUAGUGCCCGUACCGCAAACCGACACAGGUAGAUGAGGAGAGAAUCCUAAGGCCGACGGAAGAAUUGCAGUUAAGGAACUAGGCAAAUUGACCCCGUAACUUCGGGAGAAGGGGUGCCUGAGAAAUCAGGCCGCAGAGAAUAGGCACAAGCAACUGUUUAACAAAAACACAGGUCUCUGCUAAAGCGAAAGCUGAUGUAUAGGGGCUGACGCCUGCCCGGUGCUGGAAGGUUAAGGGGAACACUUAGUGGUAACGCGAAGGUGUGAACUUAAGCCCCAGUAAACGGCGGCCGUAACUAUAACGGUCCUAAGGUAGCGAAAUUCCUUGUCAGGUAAGUUCUGACCCGCACGAAUGGCGUAAUGACUUGUGCACUGUCUCAACUGCAAAUCCGGCGAAGUUGUAGUGCGAGUGAAGAUGCUCGCUACCCGCGAUUGGACGGAAAAGACCCCGUAGAGCUUUACUGUAGCUUAGCAUUGAAUUUCGGUAUUGUCUGUACAGGAUAGGUGGGAGACUGGGAAACUAGGGCGUCAGCCUUGGUGGAGUCGUUGUUGGGAUACCACCCUGAUAGUAUUGAAGUUCUAACUGGAUGCCAUGAAACUGGUGACAGGACAUUGUUAGGUGGGCAGUUUGACUGGGGCGGUCGCCUCCUAAAAUGUAACGGAGGCGCCCAAAGGUUCCCUCAGAACGGUCGGAAAUCGUUCGAAGAGUGUAAAGGCAGAAGGGAGCCUGACUGCGACACCUACAAGUGGAGCAGGGACGAAAGUCGGGCUUAGUGAUCCGGUGGUACCUCGUGGGAGGGCCAUCGCUCAACGGAUAAAAGCUACCUCGGGGAUAACAGGCUGAUCUCCCCCAAGAGUUCACAUCGACGGGGAGGUUUGGCACCUCGAUGUCGGCUCGUCGCAUCCUGGGGCUGAAGUAGGUCCCAAGGGUUGGGCUGUUCGCCCAUUAAAGCGGCACGCGAGCUGGGUUCAGAACGUCGUGAGACAGUUCGGUCCCUAUCCGUCGCGGGCGUAGGAAAUUUGAGAGGAGCUGUCCUUAGUACGAGAGGACCGGGAUGGACUGACCUAUGGUGUACCAGUUGUUUCGCCAGAAGCAUAGCUGGGUAGCUAAGUCGGGAAGGGAUAAACGCUGAAAGCAUCUAAGUGUGAAGCCCACCUCAAGAUGAGAUUUCCCAUAGCAUAAGCUAGUAAGACCCCUUGAAGACUACAAGGUUGAUAGGUCAGAGGUGUAAGUGCGGCAACGUAUUUAGCUGACUGAUACUAAUAGGUCGAGGGCUUGACCAA